GACGAACGCUGGCGGCGUGCUUAACACAUGCAAGUCGAACGAUGAAGCCGGAGCUUGCUCUGGUGAAUUAGUGGCGAACGGGUGAGUAACACGUGAGUAACCUGCCCCUGACUCUGGGAUAACUGCUAGAAAUGGUAGCUAAUACCGGAUACGACCCUCGGCGGCAUCGCCAAGGGGUGGAAAGAAUUUCGGUCAAGGAUGGACUCGCGGCCUAUCAGCUAGUUGGUGAGGUAACGGCUCACCAAGGCGACGACGGGUAGCCGGCCUGAGAGGGUGACCGGCCACACUGGGACUGAGACACGGCCCAGACUCCUACGGGAGGCAGCAGUGGGGAAUAUUGCACAAUGGGCGCAAGCCUGAUGCAGCAACGCCGCGUGAGGGAUGACGGCCUUCGGGUUGUAAACCUCUUUUAGUAGGGAAGAAGCGAAAGUGACGGUACCUGCAGAAAAAGCACCGGCUAACUACGUGCCAGCCGCCGCCGUAA
rnacentral:rRNA from 1 species